CAACUCCACAGUAGCUGAACAGACCCAGGGACGAGGACACAGAUAGCAGUACAAUGCAAACUCCACACAAUCCAAGGCUCGUUUUGGAAUAAACAACACUGACAAAGGAAUGGGAAACUUACAAAGCAUCUUGAGCAUUGUCCAAAGUUCCCCAGUGUUAUACUGAUAUACCCAAACAUGACUAUGUAACUAAUAACUAUCGUCCAAACAUCUGAAGCACUCUCACGCUGGAUUUCAUCUUCAAUGGAACGCUACGAAAAAGAAAGAAUGGCUAAUUUAUAUUUACACAGAAAAAGUGGAAGAAGUAUGAGAAACUCGCGGAAGCCUUUUUUAUACUGCAAAAAGUUUUAUAAUUAAAUUUUGAUGCGUAACAAUCUUUUCCUCGAUAAGUGGGUAAGAACAAUUAAGAAUAAAUAACAGAUCAAAGGAGGAUUUUCUACAAAAUAAAUGACAUUAUCAUUUAUUAUUAAUCCUACCUCAGCUGAAUAAGCAAUGAUCAUAUCAGGGUCGGAGUAGUUCUUCAUGAAAUUUAGAAAUUCUUUCUCCCAAGCCUUAGCUUUUUCAUUCUGUGCUUCAUCGACGUGGUUGUUAACAACGAAAGUGAUGACCAUUGCGGUGGAUUCAUUGUAAUUCUCACCUGUCGGGAAAAAUGCAUUUACCUGUGAAUCCUCCAAGAGAUAUCCACGGAAAGAUUGGCUGUCCACUGGCUCCUAAACAUGAC